rnacentral:rRNA from 1 species
GACGAACGCUGGCGGCGUGCCUAAUACAUGCAAGUCGAACGCAGUGGGGACGGGUGAGUAACACGUGGGUAACCUCCCAUCAGAGGGGAGAACACUUGGAAACAGGUGCUAAACCGAUACGGAAGGAGGGACCAGGGGUGCAUUAGCUAGUUGUUGAGGGACCGGCUCACCAAGGCCACGAUGCAUAGCCGACCUGAGAGGGUGAUCGGCCACACUGGAACUGAGACACGGCCCAGACUCCUACGGGAGGCAGCAGUAGGGAAUCUUCGGCAAUGGACGGAAGUCUGACCGAGCAACGCCGCGUGAGUGAAGAAGGUCUUCGGAUCGUAAAGCUCUGUUGUGAGGGAAGCGUUAUCUAACCAGAAAGCCACGGCUAACUACGUGCCAGCCGCCGCGGUAAUAC